GUUUGAUCAUGGCUCAGGACGAACGCUGGCGGCGUGCCUAAUACAUGCAAGUCGAGCGGACUGAUCGGAGCUUGCUCUGAGAGGUUAGCGGCGGACGGGUGAGUAACACGUGGGCAAUCUGCCUGACAGACUGGGAUAACGCUUGGAAACGAGUGCUAACACCAGAUAGUCUUCUGGGUCGCAUGACCGAGAAGGGAAAGAAGCUAUCGCUUCACUGUCAGAUGAGCCCGCGGCGCAUUAGCUAGUUGGUGGGGUCAUGGCCCACCAAGGCGACGACGGGUAGCCGGCCUGAGAGGGCGACCGGCCACACUGGGACUGAGACACGGCCCAGACUCCUACGGGAGGCAGCAGUGGGGAAUAUUGCGCAAUGGGCGAAAGCCUGACGCAGCGACGCCGCGUGAGGGACGACGGCCUUCGGGUUGUAAACCUCUUUCAGCAGGGACGAAGCGAAAGUGACGGUACCUGCAGAAGAAGCACCGGCCAACUACGUGCCAGCAGCCGCGGUUA
rnacentral:rRNA from 1 species